CCUCCCCAGCCCGACCCGCCGCGGAGGCCGAACCCCUGGAGCUUCCCAUCCCACCACGUGGGGAUUCACCCACCGAAGCUCAGGCUCCAGUGCGGCUCUUAGCCUGGUCUAUACGGUGCCGCAGGGCUCUGCCCCUUGCGCUUUAGCUGCUUUGGAAAGACUCUUGCUAAUUGAGCUACGGGCGAGACUACGGACACUAGUGGAGACCAGCCACUGGAGCAGGACUUGACAGGCAUUUUCCCAGCGAGUUACUCAACUGUUUAUUAGUCAAUAGCAGAUUAUUGGGCCCAGAUCCUCCAUGGAAAUUAGGGCCCUAAAUACCUUUGGGGAUCUGGGCUUUAGUGACCAGGAAUUUUGGAGUCUGUUACUGGCUCUGGAAACUGUGUGUGGCUGGAGAAGAGAAGACAGGUCUCCAGUUCAUUCUUCUGGCAGCAAGACAGAAAUAGUCUUGCCUGAAGGAAGGGGAACAGUGCACGAGUGACUGGUUUCUGCUUAAAUGAAUCUGGCUCUUUUGGAGAACGCCUGCACUGCAGUUGGAGAGUAUCAGGAGGGGAGAGAUGAGGAAGCCAUUUUGUUGCCCCAGGAAUGUGACUUGGCCUGUCUUUUCUCCCAGGAAGGGGAUGGGAAGCCACCAAAGAGACCAGGGAAGAGGAUCAGCACUGCCCCGAGUCCCGUCUUCAGCCAGGGACGGCUGAGAAGGAACUGAGAGGCGUGCGGGACGCAGGCGCGCAGGAAGAUUCCAACGAGAUGGGAGAUACCAUCUGAGCACCUGCAUCCCGACCAGGCACUGCUACUGAAAAUCUCCGAUCAACGGUGCCGGGACACACCGACACCUAGAGUGGAGCACCCACAGGGACAGCACUCGAAGAAGAAGAAAGAGAAUCUACUUGCUGUGCAGUAACUGGAGUUCUUCGAGCUGUGUUGUUCACAUAUGUAUUCCCCUCAAGAUGUGUAUGCAUCCAUGUGCUCGCGAUUGGAGAUUUUUGCUAGCUGUGUCCGUUGGUCCAUGCAGGUGCCCUGAACACCCUCAUGCCCUAUACCGAGGGCAUAAGAGGUGGAGCUGGACCAACCGCCAUUUCAGUCCCCUCUCUACUGCAGACCCGCAAGGUGUAAUAGGAUGUUGAAGCAGAAGGGAAGGAGGGAGGGUCAUGGAAUAGACAUAUGAACAACACAUCCCAAAUAACUCCAGUUACUGUACAGGUAAGUAACUUUCCUUUCUUCUCAAGUGAUUGACCCUAUGUAUAUUCCACUCGAGGUGACUCCCAAGCAAUGACCUAAAUAAAAAGGUCGGAGAUUGGAGUCUUAACCAAACAGAGACCUUUACUGAAAGAAGCAUCCAGUCUAGAUGCCUCUAUCACAGCACAGUGUCUAGCAAAGGUAUGUGUGGAUCCCCAGGUGGUAGCUUUACAGAUGUCUGCAAUGGGGACAUUUUAUAAGGAAGCAUCUAAAGCUACUAGAACUCUCAUGGAAUGGGCCCUAUUAUUUGGUCAUUAUAAUUUGACUACCUUGUAGCAAUUGAUACAUUACAAAGCUCAUUUGUCAGCCUCUCUGUUGAUAUAGGGGUUUCCCUUCCUUCUUUCAGCACAGAAAACAAACAGUCUUGGAGAAGACCAAAAGGGUCUGGUCCUCUGAAGAUAAAAUGCUAAGGGCCUUUUAAUGUCUUAAGUGUGUAACUUGGCUUCACCAUGGUUAGUAUGCGGGUCUGAAAAAAGUAUGGGCACAUGGAUGACCUGAUUUAGAUGCAACUUAGACAUGUGUUUUGGAAUGAACUUUGGAUAUGGUCUCUGCGAUACCUGAUCUGGACAAAAAAUGCACACUGGGGGUCCGCCAUCUGAGCACCUAGUUCACCUACCUCAUUGCAGAUGUUAUUGCAGGGGUCGGCAACCUUUCAGAAGUGGUGUGCCGAAUCUUCAUUUAUUCACUCUAAUUUAAGCUUUCGCGUGCCAGUAAUACAUUUUAAUGUUUUUAG